UCUUUCACAGUAGCUCACAGGAGCUUUUUCAAAAAUAGCCCUUAAAUCCACUUCCUUCUUGCAUGUCACACCGAAUUUCUUCCCAUUUUUCCAGUUGGAGUGUCUAUUAAGAGGUUAAGCACAUGAGAUCUAUUAUCUACUAGCUGUGUAUCCUCAGUCUACAGGUUCCUAGACCCUUGUUGAGUGAAGAACAGGUUUCUAUGAAGUCAUCUGGAAGAACAAGGCUCAGAAUUCUUUCAAGUUAUUAUUGGGAGUACAGUCUGUGAUCAGUUUUCCUUGAAUAUGCAUACCUUUCCCAGGGAGAGGGACAUGGACCGCGCUGUGCGAGGGACUCCAUCUUCUGCAGGAGGAGGAAACAGAGAAGAAAAGCCAGGGAUUCCUGGUCUGUUUUCUCCUGCUAACACCACCCUCAUCAGCCAGAGCUCAAACCCUGGCAGCUCCCAAGGACAGAUCCUGGCCCAAAGCACCAUCCUCCUCCCCUUGGACUGCAGCAAAGCCUCCAAACUCAUCUCUCCACUCCUCAACGUCCACUCCUAAUACAUCAUCCACUCUGAAGUCAGAGCAAUGUUCUAAAAAUAAGAUCUGACUAUGGCAGCUGGAGUAAACUCACGGGUGUCUCCUCAUUGCCUGCAGGGCAAACACCCAGAUUGUUCUCAGGGCCUGGCAUGUGGCCCAGGUCUAACAAGUCUUACCUUCAGCCUGUCACUGACAUACUCCAACACCGCAACCAAACAUAAGACGGUUUGUUUCAGAGUCUUCUCACCCCAACCCCCACAUCUUUGCACAUGCUGUUUCCUCCACCUGGGGUAUAUUUCCCCCUCUCGUCUGGAAAACUCCUAUUUUUACUUUAAAACAUAGCAACUCUUUUACUGCAUAGCACAGGGAACUACAUUCGAAAUCCUGUGAUAAACCAUAGUGGAAAAGAAAAUGAAAAGGAAUGUAUAUACAUAUGUAUAUAAACUGAGUCACUUUGCUGUAUAACAGUAAUAAACACAACAUUGUAUAUUAACUAUACUUCAAUAAAAGAUUAA